AUUGAACGCUGGCGGCAUGCCUUACACAUGCAAGUCGAACGGCAGCACGGACUUCGGUCUGGUGGCGAGUGGCGAACGGGUGAGUAAUAUAUCGGAACAUACCUUGUAGUGGGGGAUAACUAUCCGAAAGGAUAGCUAAUACCGCAUACGCUCUAAGGAGGAAAGUGGGGGAUCUUCGGACCUCAUGCUAUAAGAGUGGCCGAUAUCUGAUUAGCUAGUUGGUGAGGUAAAGGCUCACCAAGGCGACGAUCAGUAGCUGGUCUGAGAGGACGACCAGCCAGAAGGGAACUGAGACACGGUCCAGAAUCCUACGGGAGGCAGCAGUGGGAAAUGUUGGACAAUGGGGGCAACCCUGAUCCAGCAAUGCCGCGUGAGUGAAGAAGGCCUUCGGGUUGUAAAGCUCUUUUGUCAGGGAAGAAACGGUUGUGGCUAAUAUCCAUGGCUAAUGACGGUACCUGAAGAAUAAGCACCGGCUAACUACGUGCCAGCCGCCGCGGUAACAC
rnacentral:rRNA from 1 species